rnacentral:tRNA from 1 species
ACCCGCGGUGGCCGAUUCUGACAGGCUCGUCCCUGGUGAGGACGCUCCUCAUUGUAGUGCGUGCGAUACCGUUCCGUGGCUUCC